rnacentral:rRNA from 1 species
AAUGAAAAAUAAGUUGAAAUUUUUAGUGUAUUUUUUUUAUAAAAAAAUAAAAACUUAGAGUAUUGAGAAAGUUAAAGUAGAAUAUAAGAAAAAAUUAGUAAUAAUUUAAGAACUGUAAAGGAAAAAAUCAUUAAAUUUAAAAAAAGAUAAUUUAAUUUAUUGUACCUUUUGUAUCAGGGAUAAUUAAAAAUUCAAUAAAAAUUUAUUAAUCUCGAAUUAAAAAGAGUUAAUUUAUUAUUAUAGUUAAUGUAAAAAAAUUAUUAUAAAUAAUAAAUUGGAAAUGAAAUGUUAGUCGAUUUUUAAGAUAUCUAGUUUUUUAAUAAAAAAAUUAAAUUUGUUUUUAAAAUAUAAUAGUUAAUUUAUAAUAAUUAGUUAUUAAUUUAAAAAAAAAAAUUUAUGGGAUAAUCUAUAAAUUUAAAAUUAAAUAUUAAAUAUAAAUGAAUAAAAAAAUUUAAAAAUAAAAGUUUUUAAAAUUAGUAAGUUUAUAAUAAUUUAUUAAAAAUUUAAUAAGAUUUUAUAAAUAAUAUUAAUUAAUUAUUAAAAUAAAAUUUAAAAUUUAAUAAAGUUUAAAAUAAUGAUUAUAUAAGUAUAAAAAAAAUAAUAAAUAAAUUUAUAUAAAAAAUAAAAUUAAGGAAUUAGGCAAAUAUUAAAUUCACUUGUUUAACAAAAACAUGUUUUUUUGAAAAUAAUUAAAAAUUUUCUCUGCCCAAUGAAUAAAAUUUUAAUGGCCGCAGUAUUUUGACUGUGCAAAGGUAGCAUAAUAAAUAGUUUUUUAAUUGAAGACUAGAAUGAAUGAGGGGAUGAAAUUUAAACUGUCUCAAUAUUAAUAAUAAAAAUUUACUUUAAGUUAAAAUUCUUAAAUAAUUUUAAGGGACGAGAAGACCCUAUAGAAUUUUAAAAUUUAAAUAAAUAAUUUUCUUAUAAUGAGUUAAAAGAGAAAAUUUAUUUAAAUUUUUUUGUUGGGAGGAUAUUAAAAUUUAAAAAACUUUUAAUUUUAAAAAACAUUAAUUUAUGGGUAAUUGAAUAAUUAUAUAAGAAAAAGAAUAAAAUUACCUUAGGGAUAACAGCGUAAUAAAUUUUUAAAGUUCAAAUUAAAAAAUUUGAUUGCGACCUCGAUGUUGAAUUAAAAUAAAAUUUAAGUGUAGAAGCUUAAUAUUUAAGUCUGUUCGACUUUUAAAAUUUUACAUGAUUUG